rnacentral:lncRNA from 1 species
UAACAGUAUUAUGUUAAUUCUUUUCAACUACCUUGCUUAUACUCUCCAAAAUGCCGUAUCCUCCAAAAAUACACUACAUUUGGAGAAUCUGACACUCACCAGAUGACAUUUUCGGACAACCUGAAUAACAUAAAGCACUAGUACUGAGGUUCCUUAUUCAAAUGAACUAAUUGUAGCUGAUGUAACACUUUCAGAGGCUUGGUUUUGCCCUCGUCUCACUAUACCAAUCUCUGAUGAUAUAAAAUCCACCUUCAAGGUCCCAUAGUGGGGACUUGAGUGAUUUUUUUGAAGGAAAAAACAAAGAAUGUUUACCCUUAGAUUCAGUUUUUAAAUUCUGGUCUUUCUCCAUUAUAAGUGGUUGACUGAUCGACAUUUCAAAUCAUUUCUGAGAUUUAUUUAACCUUUUAUGGUGUUACAUAUUAGCAUAACGGUCAUAAAACUGGCGACCUUACAAUAACACUUAGUUGGUCAAUAUUUUUUGUUUGUCUUGAUAUCUUUUUUUCUUCAGCCAUUAGUUCAAAGUAAAGAACUAAAAAUCAAAGGAUUGCUACUUAAUAUUCUAUUUUCAUAAUGAAGAAGGGAAACUUCACAAAAUAAGCAAGAGUACUUUUGAGGUCUAAAGGCACAGUUUACUAAUGCAGCAGGUUUGAUGAAGGAAAUUUCUACGCAAUAUUUUGCUUGAAAACAUAAGUCAUUGAUUUUCAAACUGUUGAGAUAACAUUGCUAAUAACAUUAUUUUAUGGAGAAGUAUUGAAACGAAAAAGACAUGAAAACUGAAAUGCUCUUUACUUUUUCUUUAUUAGUUUGUGAGAAAACUCCAUGAAAUUACUCUCAAAAACACUCCUUUUACUUUGCACCUUUUGAAGAGAAACUGAACAACAAAUGCCUUUUGUAUGCAUUUCUUAUGUGUUAUAAGGGUCUUAUAUCCAGCUUAGAAUGAACAUUAAUUUUGUUUUCUAGGUAUUUAAGCAACAAUCUAGAGCAAUCUAAUUUUAUUUUGAAUAAAAUAGUUUGAGUAAUAAGAAAAGUGGUCAGCACAUUUUCCUAUAGCAAUAGACAUGCUGAUGCAAACUAAAAUUACUUUAUUGAAGAAAAAAAAUGAAAUAUCUUUUUUUCUCAUUAUCCCCUGUUUUGGUACAAAGAAAGUGAUGUGUCGUGAAUAAUAGAGUAAAGAAUAUUUUACUUUUUGAAGGAACAAAAACUAAUUUCUAUUUUCCUUUUUUUUAGGGUGUGGAGGGGGGAUGUUCAGAAUUCUUAUUACAUUGGUUACAAAAAGCAAAAUCAUAUACUGAAACUUCGCCAUAGCACGAUUCCAGUAAUUCAAAUUGAGAAUAGAGAGCAAAAGAAAGAGCUCUGCUUCUCUUGAUGAGCAGAACAUAUGAAAUGCGUAUUCAAGUGUGAGAAGUAUGCGUACUCAUCUGAAGUAACAUGAGCUGCUAAAAAUGCAGCUAAAGCAACUAUACGUUUUUAUGUUCAAACCAAGUAAUGAAAGCCUGAAAGGCCAUCAACCGUCAUGUAGAAUAGCAUAGGUGGUUCAGUUUUAUACUUUUGAGCAUAUUAUUACUAAAAUAUUAGAGCAUUACCUUUUCCUUGAUGAAUGUUUCAUUUAUACUGCAACCGCAAAUAUUCCAGCUAAUCCAUCUGCCCCCAAAUACAAUUAAGUCCUAUUAUUAAGAACAAUAAUGUAAUUAUUAGAUGUAAAUUCCAAAUAAGCAUAUCAAGAAAACGUUUCCAGCCAUUCAAUCUCAAAAUUAUUAUAAAGUUUUCAUAUACUACUCGUGAACUCAAAAGAAAGAAUCAUAUCUUAUCAAGCAAAUCGUUGUAAGCAUAUGAUGAGAUUUAAGUCCAUACUUCUGAACUCUCCAAAUAUUUAGGUGGUACUUAUAUUCGCCCUCUUUUAUCAGUAACAUCUUUGUCAUUAUUUUACUAUUGUUGAGUGCUAGUAUAACAUCAAGUUUCAAAGCAAAUAAAGAAGCUUUUGAAAGAUUGUGAAGUUUCUUCGUUACUAUAGUAACUACACAAAAUGAAUUUAAAUCAUCAUAAUUUCAAGAAAUGCAUGUUCUUAAGGAAAGCUAUAUAGAAAACUAAUAAGUUUGACAACCAUUUGUUUGUAGAAAAUCUGGAUAGCACUCCACAGGUUGAACUCACUUGAGUACAGGGAGAAAAUGAAGAGAGCUAUUAGCACAAAUUAUGCUUCCUCAAUCAGUCUCAUAUGUAAAGUAUGGACAUAUUUAAAUAUACCAAUAAGCAAGAGGCAAUUGCAAUUACUUGUACGCAAAUCAUAUCAGGAUUUAAUCCAAAGAGUUCUUCACAAAUAGUUUUUCUACACUGGUCAAUGUCUCUUUUUAUUUUUAUUUUUGUGGUAAGUGCAUCUAAAUAUCGUGCUUCUUAUGCAUGACAAUCCUUAGAAAAGAAUAUCAAUGAGAUUUCAAGUGCCCCGUCUCCUUUCUAUGAUGCUAGUGGAAAGUACAUAUUUUGAAGAAUAGACUUAAUUUAUUCAAAUAUCAAAUUCUUCUAAGCAAAAAGAAGGUAUAUUCUUGAGUUCUCUUUUAAGCUUGUCUUCCACGAAUAAUCAGUGCAAAUCACUAUAGUUUCAUCAUCAUGGAAGCUAACACUAUUUUCAUCCCUUAAUACCUUGAUUCUCAUCUCACCCUGUUUGUGUGCAAAACUUAAGUUCAGAAAGCAAUUUUACAAACACCUAGUAGGCAAACUGAAAGCAGAGCUGCCUAUGGAAAAAAAUUGAAAUCUAACAAAUAAUUGGUGAUUCCUUAGACUUAUUAAACCCAGAAGUUUCACACGAAGAAGAAGAAGAAGAAGAAGAAGAAGAAGAAGAAGAAGAAGAAGAAGAAGAAGAAGAAGAAGAAAAGAAGUAAUUACCUCCAAACGCAGCGAUCAAAUCUUAGAGGUAGAGCAAAUUCAAGAGAGACCCAAAUUGAGAAACAGAGAAAAUUUUAAGAAAAAGAAAUACAAACUCAGAGAAUUCAAAUUCGAACAAACAAAGAAUCUUUAGGAAUCAGAAGCAUCAACUUUGAUACUUGGUGAAGGGGUUACUCCACAGCAAGAGAAAUGGGCGUGAACACUACAGGAACUACACGAAAAUAAUAAUCUGAAUCACAAAGAUGAAAAGCAGACGAUUUAGACUUUUAUGCAAUUUGGGGAAACUCUCUCUCCAAAGUACAACAUGUGCAAUGUAAAGUAUAAUUUAUUGCUGCGUAAGAUAAAUUAAAAAAUUAAGUUGAAAUGAUC